UUUUUUUUUCAUUCACCUCUAAAUUCCAAAAAACUAUACUUUUUGGGAUGGAGGGAGUAUGUAUUUUUUCACUAGAGAGUAACCUAGGAGAGAGUAGCAUAUUUCCACGUUUUUCUACUAUACGCUAAAUGCGCAAAAUCUUUGGUUGAAAAAACGGGUAAAGUGGCAAUCAAACGCCCAAAAGUUAAAGCCCGUGUCUACUAGACCCAAGGCCACUAGGGCGGCUCACGGAGGCCCAGACUGCGGCGCCUCACCAACCAGCAAGGCCACAAAAGCACCCCGCCGCCCGGGCGCCCGGCCAUGUCGUCGUACGGGUACGGCCCCACCGCCGCCACGGCGGACGCGUUGGAAGUUGCCGCCGCCGGCGGCAGCUACCGUGUGUGCGACACGGUGGUGCUCGUCUGCCUCGCCUGCGCAUCCGGCCUCAUCGUCCUCACGGUGGCCGUCUGCUUCCGGCGCGCCUUCGCCCACGGGUACGCGGCCGCCGCCGUGGGCGGGAACGGCGCUGGGCCCGCCGCCGCCGCCAGCGGCAGGAACCGGUGCGGGCUGCCGCCGUCCGCGCUCUCGGCGAUCCCCAUGCUCGCGUACCGGAGGGGCGCCGCCGGCGCCGGCGCCGGGUGGGCGCAGUGCGCGAUCUGCCUCGCCGUGGUGCGGGACGGGGAGACGGUGCGGCUGCUGCCGGCGUGCGGGCACCUGUUCCACGUCGAGUGCAUCGACCUGUGGCUGCGCUCCCACGCCACGUGCCCGCUCUGCCGGCGCGACGUCGGCGAGGCGGCCGCCGAGAAAGUUUGAGCUCGCCGCCGGCCUCUGGCUCAACUUCUUUCCCUCCAUGAUAUCCACAUCUCAGUACUUGUACGUGGUAGCUAGGAAAUUAGGCAUAGUUUCAUUUUGAUGCUAGAAUUAAAGGAUUUUUGUAGCCAUCUGAUUGGGGGAAAGCUCAUUCUUCUUUUUUUAUGCACUUGGUUUUGCCAUUUUCAUAACCUGCAAUCAUAUGGAUGCAAGAUGCACAUUGAAAUAUUAGACGUGUCUAAAUCAGGAGACCCUGCAAGUAAAUCCGAUAAGGAUUUGGAUUAGAUUGGGGUGUAAAAAAUACAGGAUGAUGAUGAAAUGGUGGCAGCGUAGGUCAACUUUGGAAGGAUAUUGCAAUGAUCUAUAUCUAUCGUCAAGGAUAUUAUAAGGACAAUAAUUUUACUUCGUCAUGCAUCCUGAUUUGAUAGUAGCCAAUAUAAAAUAAUCUGCGAAAUUGGUACUUCUGCCUUACUACAUGUCCAUCUGUGAUGUCCUUAUCUGGAACUUGUGUGCUUCUUGUAACUCAUGGUGUCACUUCUUGCCAAUGGCUCAAUAUACCAUCUUGAUUUUAUAAUACCCUCUAUCUAUGCGGACUGUCCUUUUUAUAGGAGAAAGUCUCUGAAGGUAGAUUAAUAGAUUCUGGUGAUGAAACUUUUGUGCACUAAAUUUAAUAUAUGUAUAGUAUAUAAUCUGACUAAUAAUUGUUGGUCAAAAUUUGCAAACUUUGACCAUUUCAAAUCAAAAUACGUCUUACAUUGUUGAGCAUAGAGAAUACCAUGUUUAGUCAACAAAUGGUGAAAAUAAAAAUAGAGAACCUUGUGUCCUUAGACUUUGGAAAAAAGGACAAUAAAAAACCACAUGUUUUAAAGACGUUUGCACUGCGGGUAGAUUGAAAUAUCUCAAAAUUUCGUGGCGAACUAAAUGGACCACUGCCUAAAAUAUCUUUUGUCAUCGUUACAUAUUUGCUGUCACUUCUGUAGUUCUUUCAGUUCGACAGAGCAGUUUGUGCAGAAUCCUGCUCGAAAGUAAACCGUGUGGACAGGGCCGAACUUGAUGGAAGCAGAGCACCACACUUCCAUCCAUCACAAUUCCCAACCGGCAAGUACUCAUUAGAAAGUGACAUUAAAAUAUCUAUGAGAGAUCUUUUAGAAAGAAGAUAGAGCAAAUGCCAUAUAGGAAAUCUGCUUCUUUAAUCUAAAUUUUGGUAUCAUCAUUUUAUUACGCAAAUGUGUUAGUGUUAACUGCAUUGUGUUUAGACUGUAUCAGCACAAAUUGCUUUUCUGCCAGGUGGAUACAUAAUUUUAAUGGAGGGGAGCUUCCCAUAUAGUAGUGUGGUGGCGGAUGUUCGAGGGUACAACUCUACCUACCAGAGCUUAAAUGUUGAUGCCCCCCGAUCUAAUUACACUCAUGCGAGUUUUUCUAACGGGUUUAUUUGUAGGCGUGAGUCGUGGACAUGUGACGCAAUGUGUGUUUGUGUGCAUUGUAAUAGCAACGAGAAGAGGUACAUAGGGGAAGGAGCAGUCAUCUUACACAAGACGACUCAUGAGAUGCACAUGCUAAACGUUUUGUAGUAGUAUUUCAUCUUAAACUAGCAACUAGGAACGUGUGGCACGCACGUGCAUAAUCUUGACAUUGCACACAGGGAACGUCGCUAGAUUUCUACAAUUUGCCAUCGUGCUCUUUAGAAAUAGAAAAUGUUUCCUUGUGUGCAUUGUUAUUAAAUUAAUUAAUUCCAAAUUUGCAAUUAAUCAUCUUCCAAAUCAAACACAUUACCUAAUAAAAUGUACUAAUUGCCUUCCAAAUCAAGCUUAUGGUUUCCACAUAUAGUGCACGGUUAACCCAUCAACUAUUCGAGGUAUGUGAACCAUAUGAGUAGAUAUGGAUGAUUGAGAUAUCAAAUAGACUAGCUACAAAAAAAACUAGAUGCAUUUAUAGUUUAGAGUUGAUCUUGAAAAUAAAUAUAUAGUCAAAUAACUUUUCCUUCAACUAAUUCUAAGAACAACAUGAUUCUUUGUGUAAAUAUAUCUAUACCUAAUAUUAAAGUGCGGUUGUUUCUUCCAACCGUCGUGGUUGUUUUGCAAAAAAAAAAACCCUCAAACUUUACUAAAAUCAACCCGCGAUCCAAUUUCAUCAUCGACUGUUUCAGCCAUCCAUCAUUGACCGUUGACAUCCUCCCACUCCAUCUUAGUUCCCGCAUCAAUCGCGGAUCACCCCCACCCCGCUUACAAGUUCAAAUCUCUAUCUGUUAUCCUGGUCUGCAAGCUCCCCUUCGCCCUAUCCGUUAGCCGGCCACACGAUGCUCGUCACCUCCCUUCUCCUGCUCCCCGCGCCGCCUAUCUGUGUCUCACCUCCCUGCAUAAGGACACGCGACACAGCGGUAGGAGAUCAAAUUUGGGAGCUGCAGCUGCACGCUUGUCAAUCUGCAUGUGGAUUGGGGCUUAUCUGAUUUCGUUGCUUGAUGUGAAAUACAACUAAGAGGGAUCAAAGAGAAGGAAGAUUUGGCUUGCGUGAAUUGGUUGCUCGACUCGGAUUUGGUGGUGCUCGCGUGUUCAUGCUAGAGGAAGAGGAGCAAGGAGGUGUUGGCUUUACUGUCGCCUACUGAAUCGAGCAUUGCUGGUGCGAAUCAAGCUGCAGGCUACAGCAGCCGUGGAAUCGAGCACCGCCACCCAACUGCUGCCCUGGACCUGCAGCUCAACCACCGCCCCUCAGCAACUCUUCCUCCCUGCCUGAUGUGCUCCUCCAGCACUCUGCCAUGCGCCAUGGGCCAAAACACUGAGGCCCUUGACCUUCUGGCCCCCACGCGCUGGUCCACUGCAACCACGGUGCUUACCAGCUAGGAGAAAGAACGCGAUGGAGGGGAGGCAAAUACUAGGAGCUCCUGCUCGUUGGCCCUCCACCGGCCCUGGCACCUUGCUCGCCAGCACUGCUCACAAUGGUGCCGGCCACGAAGCGGCACAUGGACGGACGGUUCACAAUUGUAAAAAUGGACGGUAGAAGCCUGGCAGAGAUAAGACUCAGCAUAUUUACAUAAAAGCUCCUUUAGUUGUUCUAAAAUGUGCCACUGACUAAUCCUAAAAUGCAAUUUUGAAUAAACAUCUUCAAAAAGAUCCUAGGUUUCUUAGUAUUUGAGUAGAGGAAUUUGUAUUUCAUAGCCGCAACAAACAUAUACUAUAUGUCUAUCUUUUUCGAUCACAUCAAUUAAAAUGCAAAUAUAUGCUCCAUCAUUUUUUCUAAGUAUAAUAAUCAUGCGCUAAUAUUAUUUGCACAAAUUUAUAAUUAUUUAAGUAGUUCAUUUUAAAUUUAAUAUUUUUCUUCCGUUGCAACGCACGGGCAUAUUUGCUAAUAUUUUUUCAAACAUGGCAAGGUUUAGGAUAAUAGAUCGAUCAUCUUUCUUGUUCUUUUUAAUAAAGUAUAGUCGAUGCGCACCAUAUUAAUAGAGAGAGAGAAAAGAUGGUGCGUGGAUCAAAGGGGUAGUUCCACAUUUGAUAUCAUUUAUAUGAUAGUCUUUCCAUUCUCUAGUAUUUGGACCCUAGGAUCAUUUUUAUGUAUGGAUCAAAGGGGUAGUUCCACAUAUUGAGAAGACUAAAAGCACAAAACUGUGACCCCCCCUAACAUCUCAUUGAGCUCUAGUAGGAUAACCACAAUACUGUGGCCAUUUUUCCCACAAGUUGUGCGACCAAACUGGCUUUGCGUUCAAGUAUAUGAUAUUUUCAAGGUUUUUCCCAACUCAAAAGCUCUUCCUCCCAAAAUUGGAAGCUUAUUCGGAUCAGUCAAACGUUUGGGCCGACAGACCGCUUCGUUAGUUUUGCUGCACACACACCUGGGCUGAUCAUAAAACAGCACACAUUGGGCCGAAAGAUUGCGCCCAGUCAUUCGAUUCGUUAGUACUCCCUCUGUCCCAAAUUACUAUUCGUUUCCUCUUUUCUAGAUGUAAGAAUGAUACAACACACAUUGGGACGGAGGGAGUAUCUGUUUUAGGGCCUGUUUUCUUCCACUUGCUAAACUUUAGCACCCGUCACAUCGAAUGUUUAGAUACUAAUUAGGAGUAUUAAACGUAGACUAUUUACAAAACCCAUUACAUAAGACGAAUCUAAACGGCGAGACNNNNNNNNNNNNNNNNNNNNNNNNNNNNNNNNNNNNNNNNNNNNNNNNNNNNNNNNNNNNNNNNNNNNNNNNNNNNNNNNNNNNNNNNNNNNNNNNNNNNUAGAUUCGUCUCGCCGUUUAGAUUCCACUUAUGUAAUUGGUUUUGUAAAUAGUCUACGUUUACUACUCCUAAUUAGUAUCUAAACAUUCGAUGUGACACGUGCUAAAAAUAAGACACGGGAAGAAAACGCCCCCUUAAUCUCAUUCAUUUUUGCUUGUAAUGAUACCAUUGUUUUUAUAUUUUAGUCUUUCACUAAUGAUGGUGGAAUUCCAUAUAUAUAACCGCAUUAGUCUCUGUCACUGGUUUUGUCAAAGCUCAGCAAGGUGCAUUGUUAAUCAGAUGGUGGCCUGGCUGCCUACUUGGAGGAAGAGCCGGCCGUCGAACACCCUUAAAUAACGCAGCCGUUGCGCAAUGCAAACGGAAAGAAUGACAUGAACUUCGAUCUCGAAAGAUUUCACACGCACCCAAGUUAUCCACGCAUGGGGAUUCCAGUUGGUGACUGAGUUAUCCAUGACGCACAUACGGGAGCAUGGACGCAAGAACAGGCCAGAUACACGCACAGGAAAGUGAAUUAUUUGACCUUCCCGUUGUGCACUUGUGGGAGUUUUUUUUAAUGAUUUGACCUACACGGAUUUGUGAGAUGUAACUGUGUGCUGCAAUUCACAGUGACCUACUCCUGCUCAUCACCUUUUGUAAUUAGUUUCUCUGAAUAAUCUGACUCACAGUUUAAUUGGACAAACUAAUAGGGUAUAUAUCCAUAUAUGUUCUAUUUUCAUGAAAAAAAUACUUCAUACUAAAAUACGUAUAUAAAUAACAUAUACACAGCAUAUGUUUUACUUUCUACUCCCUCUAUUCCAAAUUAUAGGUCGUUUUGAAUUUUUUAGAUUCAUAAAGUUUAUUAUGCACUUAGAUAUACCCUAUGUCUAGAUAUAUAAUAAUAUCUAUGCAUCUAGAAAAACUAAAAUGACCUAUAAUUUGGAACGGAUGGAGUAAUUAUUCCCCCCUCGAAACAGAAGAGAAAUACCCCUCAAAUUCUAACAAAGAAAUUUGAUCCAUUGUCAUCGCCAAUUCUUUGACUGAACAAAUACAAGAUAAUUUGUGAGAGAUCUAGCCCAUUUCAUGCCACAUUCUUGGGGAUCAGAAAUUCUGAAGUCAAUUCCAAUACCGUGGGCAAACAAGCUGCGCCCCAGGAUAUAUUCUCAUCCAAAUAAACUCUCAAUUAUGACAUGCCCUAACUACUUUUUCUGUUCCUCCGUUCCAAAUUGUAGGUCGUUUUAGCUUUUUUAAAUUAAUAGAUAUUAUUAUUCAUCUAGAUAUAGUGUAUGUCUAAUAGAAAAAUUAAAAUGACCUACAAUUUGUGAUGGGGGGAGUAACAUACUAGAUAUAGUGUAUGUGUAAUAGAAAAAUCAAAACGACCUACAAUCUGGGAUGGAAGGAGAUGGAAGGAGUAAUAUGUUAUUAUCCUUAAUUACAUCCAUGAACUUCAACGCGAAAAAUUUAAAAAUUUUCGCCCAACUUGCGCGGCUUAUAUAUACACCCGUCACUAAGCAAAUUUAGUACUCCAAGAAUCUAAGAUACCGCCACCAUCUACAGCUAGCUCAGCUGCCUGCACAGCUGCACUGCGCUGCAGAAAGCUACGACCUCGAUCGAGUGAGCCAUGUCGCUCUCGUCCAACACCAACUCGCUUCCCUACUCGACGGACAAGGGCGGGUACAGCACCCACGACACGCUCGUCCUCCUCGGCAUCGGCUUCUGCGCCACCGCCGUCUCAAUCCUCAUCAUCGUGCUCUGCGAGUGCCUGUGCUGCCGCCGCCGCCGCGCGGGGGGCACGGUCGUGUACGUGGCGGCCAGGCCGUUUUUUCUGCACGGCGACGGAGACGGCGGCGGCGGGCUGAGCCCCUCCGCGGUGGCCGCGCUGCCGUCGUUCGUGUUCCGCAGGGGCCUGGCGGCGGUGAGCAGCGGCGCCGGCCGCGGCGAGGGCAGCGGCAGCGGCAGCGGGCGCGGGUGGGCGCAGUGCGCGGUGUGCCUGAGCCUAGUGCAGGAGGGGGAGGUGGUGCGGCGGCUGCCGGCGUGCAUGCACCUGUUCCAUGUCUGCUGCAUCGACAUGUGGCUGCGCUCCCACUCCACGUGUCCCCUCUGCAGGGCCACCGUGGAGCCUACCAAGCAGGCGUCUUCAAAGGAGCAGGCGCCACCGGUGUAAUGCAAACAUCGCAGUUCGUCAGUGAAAACAGAAAUAUCACAAGAUUUUGUGUACUAUAAGUACUAGAAUUAUAGGAUGUAAAGUAUGCGUAUUGUUAUGUGUACAAUUGUACAAGUUUACUUUGUACGUUUGGAACAUGAGUUUUUCCUCAAUCGUACCAGAGUCUAACCGAAUAAUCUGUUGAAAUUCCUGUAGGAUUCAUGCAUUAGGAACUUCCUGGUUGCUGCUAGUCUAUGUACGUAUACUUGUUGCUGAUGUUUGAAGCUUAACAUAAUGCAUGAUUACGCGAUCGAUGUCUAACUUGUUUUGGUUGUACACUUGUCCAUUUCUGAUCCCAUAUGCAAAUAUUGUGAGGUUAGUGUUUUGGAAGUGAUCCCCGCGAUGAUGAAAGAGUUAGAAGCUUGAAAUGGUCAGACCACUCUGGUGUGGUUCUUGAGAUUGACCUGUUACAGAAUAAUUGAGAAGCCAUCUUCAGAGUCAAUGAACUUCUUUAUUUUUUAUCUUCUUGUUAUUUAGUGAAAAGCACUUCAACAUCAAAGGAAAUGAGCAUCUAUCCGGUGACGAUCUCAUUGUUUCCCUUAGCUAGGCAAAUCAAUUGAAAUUGUCGUGCACUAUAUGACAUUUACAGGGACGUACGUAAGCCAAUGUGCAUAAACUUUUGCGUUCAUUGGCUCGUUGCAAUACAAUCAACUGUCAGCUUCACAGGAGAUAAAGGAGCAAUUAGUCCCAAAUACUACUACAGUGGUACUGAAGCAGUUCCCAAACUAUUUAAGAUGCUUUCCCCAACUUCAACCCUUUGUUAUCAAGCCCGUAAGUCUAUAAGAGCAACUCCAAGAGUACUCCAAAAAAUUCUUCCUCAAAACUAUGUAUUGGGGUUCUUCCAAAAAAUUUUUCCCCCAAAAACAUAUCAAUCCACAGCAGAUCGCUAAUAAAUAGCCUACAAUAUUUAAAAACAGGCCACGUCAUUGUAUUGGGCCCAUCAGAAGGGACGUGCGAGCGUGUGGGAAUUAGGAUUGGGGGAGGAAUGCCAACGCUAAAAUAUACGCGGUGGUAGGCUGUUUUUUAGCGUUGCUAAAAAAUUGGGGAAGGUUUGGGUGGACUGUUGGAGUUCGUUUUUUCUCCUUUUUUCCUAAAAAAUAUAUUAGAGGUAAGAUUAGGAGCCUCUUGGAAUUGCUCUAAAGAUGCUUUUGCAGCCCACUACAAAUGUUUUUGUGAAUCCGUUUUUAGAUAUUAUAAAACUCAUUCCUCAUGCAGUAAUUCUACGAGAAAGGAAAAAAAAAUCCCACUGCUCUGUUCAUGUACAACAAUGUAAAUAGAAAGUUCCAAUCCCAAAAAGUAAACUGGAAGCAGUAUCAAGUAGUUAUGAUUGGGCCAGUUGUUCCAUGCAUAGACAAACUUGAUGGGCCUCAUGAUCUAAAAUGCCAAAAAUAUUUUGAACGUCCAUAUAAGUUUUGGCCCAACCUGCCUGACCACCCAAAAAGGCGCCAAAACUCACUAGCCCAUCAAAGUUAUUGCACAGUCACUAUGUGUAAAGCUGAACAGAUCAUACAUGGUCCGACACUUCCACCAAUUCAACUGUACUACGCCCUCCGUUUCAUUUUAGUGACUGUGCAAACAAUUUUUUAAUUGAUUAACGAUACAGGACGCACUCCCGUUUCAUAGCAAAAAUAUACAACUAGUAUACAUGAAGGAAAAGAGCAGGGAUAGUUAGAGCUCUUACUAUAGCUGAAAAUGAGGCAAUUAUCACCCUAUCCGACAGUGAGGUGCAUGUGGUGCUUUAUCGAGAGUUAAGUGUGCAUGCGUAUGCUCGUAGAGGUGAGCGUAUGUGGUGUGUGAAAUUGUGAGCGUCUGCAUUAGUAUUGUGUUUUGAAAAAGACUUCAAAUGUAUUCGCUAUUUUACAAAAAUAUAACGACCCUUUCUGCAAACUAAAUACACCAUGUUCUAAAAACAAGCUAGCUUGGACGUGCUGCAGCCGGUGUUCGGACGCUGCACGGUGACAGACACGUCAAGGAAACAUGGGUACCUCCGUUUCGGAUGCUGGCGGUGGUGAACAACGGGAUACCAGAUAGCAACCCAUAUCCCUUUUUUAGGAGCUCAUCAAGAUAAAUGACAACGACACCUCCAAAGGAAAGCUGAAGUGCAAUCAGAACCGCCUGCCCUGUGCUAAGUUUGCCAGCGAUAGUUGAAACUAUUGGAGCUGCUUGCACCCGGAUGUCUGAGCCGCUAGCAUUGAACGCUUCACCAUCCAUCCGAAAAAUUCCCACCGCAACAUUGGACCGACGUUGCAUGCAACAUCACCGGUUGCAACAUUGAAAAUUUUCAUAUGCAACAUCAGAAUCGAACGAUUGAAACAUAGAAAAUAUGCACAAAAAUAGUUUAUAACUGCAUCUAAACUUCACGACUACUUGAUCCAUCUCAAAAGGGAAAAUACUGUGAAAAUGAUUUGAAAUAGUACAAAACCAAGAUAAAUCAAGACAUUAGCCGCAAAUAUUGAAAUUUUGGGAUGGCAACAACUCGAAACUUUCACUGCAACAUGCCAAAACAGUAGAUGAAACAUGAAACGAAAGUAAUCCAGUAAAAUAUUAUGUAACAACAUCUUGAUCGGUUUGUUUUGACAUCUCUAAUUAUCUUAUGCAACAUUCAAAAAUCACCAAUUGGAACAUCCAAAAAUAGUAGUGCAACAUCAAGAAAUACGAAUCACAACAUCAUAAAUGAAUUACUGCAACAUCAAAAAAAUCCAACGCCCUGAAAUCACCUAUGUACCUCCAUCCUCCAGCUUCUCACCACCCAAAAUUAAUCUCAAUCGCUAGAGUCGAUCUCCUAGCCGCUUCAACUGAUGAUAGGCAGUCGACAUCGAGCUCUUCAUACCUUACAAAGGGACUCGAGCUCUUCAUCACCGUGCCAUCAGGAUCUAGCUUCUUGUCGCCUGAAUUGACACCUCACUGUUGGAGUUGAGCUUCUGUAACUCAAAUCGACACCAGAGCUAGAAAUUGAGUCGCUUGGACCACCACUUGCUGUGCAGUUGCGUCAGUGCUACCGGAUGCGCCGCCGUUGAACAUGCACCGUCAUUCGCUUGAUUUCGCAUCGCUUAGGCCGCUAAGCUUCCGACGGAGUCACUGCUGUGCUCUUGGGCCUGACGAGCACAGCAAGCACAGACGCGAGAGGUGACUCCUUGCGCCUCUGUGCCGCUCGACAGUCUCCACCGCUAAUCUUGCCGGCUUGUGUGGUCACACCAGUGGGGAUCGUAGCAGUAGCAAGAAGGGGAGAGGAGGAGGCUGUGCUUGCAGAAUGAAUGGUUGCGAGCUUGCAGCGUGGACUCUGGACUGAAUCGGUGUGCCAUAGGAAUGUGAUCCGGGAGAUAUAAACAAGCAUAGAAACGGCAGCAGGAAAAAAGAUGUGGACCAUAUCACGCCACGCGUCCAUCCGGAGGAAGUUGUUGACGUUGGAUGACUUGCACGAUAGCGUUACCGUUGAAACUAGCACAUUGCUGAUUGGAAGAGCAGCGGCAAGAAGUAUCCCGAAUAACC
rnacentral:lncRNA from 1 species